UUCUUAUCAAGAGUGGUGGAGGGAAAGGCCCUGUGAAACCACAGCAACCGGUCCGGUAGCGGACGCCAGGUGCUAAAUCCUGCCCGAAAGGGAGCGAUGAGAG
rnacentral:ncRNA from 18 species